GUUAUGGAGGGCUUAAAAAAGGAGAUUUAUCGGCAAUGGGCAAAUUUGAAAUUUCUGUCCCCACUUUUAAGCAGCUUCCUCGGUUUGACAGCAGAGGCACUGCGAUCGACUGGGAUACUACAUUUUCAUUUACAACAAUGAGUCGUGGUAGAAAUUGCUUGUACCUGGCUGUACAAGUGGGAAUCCCAAUAAAAACAAGGCAAAUAAAGAACGGGGUGAAAGAAACCCAAGCCUUUUCAAAGCUCCUAAUGAUCCUAGCUUGCUACAGCAGUGGCAAAAGGCGAUACCCAGAUCAGACAAGACACUUAGCAGCAAAGAUGCUGUUUGUGAACUACAUUUUCUAGAUGAAGAUAUUUUGACUCAUUAUGAGAUCAAAUUAACUGACGGAACUAUCAGUAGAAUUGAGCGGGGUAGACCAUUAUUAAAGGAGGGUUCAAUUCCAAGAAUUUUUCCUAACCUGCCUUCAUAUUUCUCUAGUAAUAAAAGAAAGAGGAAACCACCAUGUGUAAGGAGUGAAGCAACUGAAAAAGUUUCUAAUUCAAAAAAAGUAAAAGGUCUGCCUAUUAAUCAUGUUGAAAAUCAAACUUCAGAACCUAACUUUGAGAAUGAGAAUGAAAUUCUUCGUGAUAUUACUAAUGUGCCAGUUGAUGUUACAGACAGUAGAGUUACUAUGUUCACAAAUUUGAAAAAUAGUUUGGCUGCAGUUGGCACACCAAACAAGCGAUGGGCAGGUACAUUUAUUUCAGGUUCAAAUGAAAUAGUCUUUGCUGAGUGGGAUGAUACUUACUUGCCAAAAAAAAAAUUAUAAUUUGCAAGGAUAUGUCUUAUAAGGUUUUAUUUGGGAAAACAGAAAUUACUUUUGAAGAGAAAAGUUCAGAAAUAUCUAGUUUUGAAGAACUUGAAAACAUAUUAAUAUCUGUCAAUAGAAUGGGAGUCUGUUCUGAAAUUAAGCUAUGGUUUGCAGAUUGAAGCGAUUUAAAUGGAAGACCAUUGACUGGAAUGGAAUUAAACAAAUGGCAGAUGCACACAGCAGCUGUCGCUUCUGAUUCAUGCACUGGUGUGAUUCCCCUCAGAAGGCCUGGACAGAAGGGGGCAAUUUCAAAGAAUUGCACCUCUUGUCAAUUGGAUAAUAAAAAUAAAAAAAAGAAAAUGGUUAAGUCAUUGUUAGUAAGGCGCCAUAAAAAA